rnacentral:rRNA from 1 species
CCUACGGGAGGCAGCAGUGGGGAAUAUUGCACCAUGGGGGAAACCCUGCUGCAGCAACGCCGCGUGAGUGAAGAAGUAUUUCGGUCUGUAAAGCUCUAUCAGCAGGGAAGAAGAUGACGGUACCUGAAUAAGAAGCCUCGGCUAACUACGUGCCAGCAGCCGCGGUAAUACGUAGGGGGAAAGCGUUAUCCGGAUUUACUGGGUGUAAAGGGAGCGUAGACGGCGCUGCAAGUCCGGAGUGACAGCCCAUGGCUAAACCCUGUUACGGCUCUGUAAACUGUUGAGCUGGAGUGCGUGAGGGGCAGGCGGAAUUCCUAGUGUAGCGGGGAAAUGCGUAGAUAUUAGGAGGAACACCGGCGGCGAAGGCGGCCUGCUGUACCGUAACGGACGUGGAGGCUCGAAAGCGGGGGGAGCAAACAGGAUUAGAUACCUAGUAGUC